rnacentral:rRNA from 1 species
CCUACGGGAGGCUGCAGUGGGGAAUAUUGCGCAAUGGGCGAAAGCCUGACGCAGCGACGCCGCGUGAGGGAUGAAGGUCUUCGGAUCGUAAACCUCUGUCAGCAGGGAAGAACGGUCACUGUGCUAAUCAGCAGUGAAUGGACGGUACCUGCAAAGGAAGCACCGGCUAACUCCGUGCCAGCAGCCGCGGUAAGACGGAGGGUGCGAGCGUUAAUCGGAAUUACUGGGCGUAAAGCGCUCGUAGGCGGUAUGUCACGUCAAGGGUGAAAUCCCCGCGCUCUACGUUGGAACUUCCUUUGAAACUGGCAAACUGGAGUGUGUGAGCGGAUAGUGGCAUUCCAGGUGUAGGCGU